rnacentral:rRNA from 1 species
GUAGGGAAUAUUGGGCAAUGGUCGGAAGACUGACCCAGCCAUGCCGCGUGCAGGAAGACGGCCCUCUGGGUUGUAAACUGCUUUUAUCUGGGAAGAAAAAGGCCAUGCGUGGCAAAUUGCCGGUACCAGAUGAAUAAGCACCGGCUAACUCCGUGCCAGCAGCCGCGGUAAUACGGAGGGUGCGAGCGUUGUCCGGAUUUAUUGGGUUUAAAGGGUGCGUAGGCUGCUGAUUAAGUCAGCGGUGAAAGACUUCGGCUUAACCGGAGCAGUGCCGUUGAUACUGGUUGGCUUGAGUGUCGGAGGGGUACAUGGAAUUGAUGGUGUAGCGGUGAAAUGCAUAGAUACCAUCAGGAACACCGAUAGCGAAGGCAUUGUACUGGCCGACAACUGACGCUGAUGCACGAAAGUGUGGGGAUCGAACAGGAUUAGAAACCCGGGUAGUCC